rnacentral:rRNA from 1 species
GUCUAGUUAGCAAUUAUACCGCGAAACUGCGAAUGGCUCAUUAUAUAAGUUAUCGUUUAUUUGAUAGUACCUUACUACUUGGAUAACCGUGGUAAUUCUAGAGCUAAUACAUGCUAAAAAUCCCGACUUCGGAAGGGAUGUAUUUAUUAGAUUAAAAACCAAUGCCCUUCGGGGCUUUCUGGUGAUUCAUGAUAACUUCUCGAAUCGCAUGGCCUUGCGCCGGCGAUGGUUCAUUCAAAUUUCUUCCCUAUCAACUUUCGAUGUUUGGGUAUUGGCCAAACAUGGUUGCAACGGGUAACGGAGGGUUAGGGCUCGACCCCGGAGAAGGAGCCUGAGAAACGGCUACUACAUCCAAGGAAGGCAGCAGGCGCGCAAAUUACCCAAUCCCGACACGGGGAGGUAGUGACAAUAAAUACUGAUACAGGGCUCUUUUGGGUCUUGUAAUUGGAAUGAGUACAAUUUAAAUCCCUUAACGAGGAACAAUUGGAGGGCAAGUCUGGUGCCAGCAGCCGCGGUAAUUCCAGCUCCAAUAGCGUAUAUUAAAGUUGUUGUGGUUAAAAAGCUCGUAGUUGAACCUUGGGCCUGGCUGGCCGGUCCGCCUCACCGCGUGUACUGGUCCGGCCGGGCCUUUCCCUCUGUGGAACCCCAUGCCCUUCACUGGGUGUGGCGGGGAAACAGGACUUUUACUUUGAAAAAAUUAGAGUGCUCCAGGCAGGCCUAUGCUCGAAUACAUUAGCAUGGAAUAAUAGAAUAGGACGUGUGGUUCUAUUUUGUUGGUUUCUAGGACCGCCGUAAUGAUUAAUAGGGACAGUCGGGGGCAUCAGUAUUCAAUUGUCAGAGGUGAAAUUCUUAGAUUUAUUGAAGACUAACUACUGCGAAAGCAUUUGCCAAGGAUGUUUUCAUUAAUCAGGAACGAAAGUUAGGGGAUCGAAGACGAUCAGAUACCGUCGUAGUCUUAACCAUAAACUAUGCCGACUAGGGAUCGGACGAUGUUAUUUUUUGACUCGUUCGGCACCUUACGAGAAAUCAAAGUGCU